GCUCUCUAACCUAAAAUCAAUUCAUCGUACUCGAAAGCUUGAAACCCAGAUUCAAUUGUUGAAAACCCCUCUCCUUUAUAUUAGUUCAUUCAUCACAUAUAGCCAUCUCCCUCUCGCGCUCGAAAGCAUUCAAAUAGCUACCUCUUGAACCCAGAAUCAAUUCAUCACAUUCAAAAGCUUGAAACCCAAAUUCCUAGAUCAGCUUCGAACCUAGAAACUUGUGCUCAUGUGAUUCUUACUUCUCAUCACGUUCGCAUGCUUCGUGCUUCAAUCUGUGUUCCGCAUUCAUAGAGCUUCGUUCUUUGUUUCUCUAGCUUCAAUCUUUCACCUUAGGUCGUGCUUCAAUCUCCAAGCUUCAACCCAAGUUUUUGCAUCAGUUGUUGAUUUCCUCGGGCAAAGACAAGCCAUGAUUCACUAAUGAUAAGGAGAUUGCCAAAUAUGCAAAGGAGCAAUACAUGAAUCAAAGGCUCAGUGAAAGUGGCAAGUAGUGUUAUCAGUUAUUUUUUCAUAUUUCUUAAUCUGUAAGAAAACGUGUAUGAAUUUGUUCGUAAUGGUAUUGGAUAUUUACUUAAGUCAUUUUAAUUUUUUACAAUAAAUGCCAGCAAUGGAUAGUCUUUUUGAUGAAGAGCAAUUAUAUUCUCUUAUGCUCUCUACAUCACAAACUCAAUUUGGCAAUGAAGAAGUUUUGUGAGCAGUGUGUUUCCAUAAUACAUUAUUUUUGUGAUUAAGUUACUAACUAUGUAAUGAUGAUAGGGGUAUGAGAAUUGGCAAGCAAGUUUGGUUGUACAAGGCCUCACAUGAUGUCAAGGAUCCCAUAUGGACGUGAUGUCAAGGAUCCUAUAUGGAUGACACUAAAACUAAGCCAUUCAUGGAGCAUGGUUUGCUUCAUAGCAGAGUGCAAAAGAAAGAAAAACGUGAAGAGCUUUGGGAGUGAUGAUUGAAUUAGUGGAAGAAUGCAAAUCCUUAGGCAUAUUCUUUCAUCAAUACUCCUUUCCUUUCAUCUCUCCUAAACUUUUUCAUCUGUAACAGCAAACUUCUCUUUAUAAGGAUUCAUAGAUAAUGGCUUGAGUAGUUUAUUUAUUAAGAGUGUUUUAGGAAA